rnacentral:rRNA from 1 species
AACGAGGCGAACCGGGGGAACUGAAACAUCUAAGUACCCCGAGGAAAAGAAAUCAACCGAGAUUCCCCCAGUAGCGGCGAGCGAACGGGGAGCAGCCCGGAGUCUGAAUCAGCUUGUGUGUUAGUGGAAGCGUCUGGAAAGUCGCAGGGUACAGGGUGAUACUCCCGUACACUAAAACACACAGGUUGUGAACUCGAAGAGUAGGGCGGGACACGUGGUAUCCUGUCUGAAUAUGGGGGGACCAUCCUCCAAGGCUAAAUACUCCUGACUGACCGAUAGUGAACCAGUACCGUGAGGGAAAGGCGAAAAGAACCCCGGCGAGGGGAGUGAAAAAGAACCUGAAACCGUGUACGUACAAGCAGUAGGAGCCC